rnacentral:lncRNA from 1 species
UCACUUUUUCCUCCCUUCUUUAAACAAAAGAACCAACCCUAAUCUAUAUCUCUCUCCGUCAAAACAAAACAGCCGUUCCACAACCCUCUCUCACCUCUCAUCAAAAAACAACCACCGUAUUGAGCCGCCGCCACCGCCACCGCCUCCCACCAAUCGACGGAACCGCACAUCAAUCCGCCAUCGCCGCCGCCUCCCACCGACGACUUCACCAAAUGGUCGCCGCUCAACCAACAAAACCCCACAACAGCGGCUGCUUCCACCGCCGGCGAAUCCAAGCCAGCCGCACCGCCGCCAAGACAUUAUCGAAGCUCCAUUGGCAAACCCAACAGACUCGCGACUCAAUUACAAACAGACUUUCCAUAGGAUGUAUUGAAGGUGGAGCUCUCCAAUCUUUUCAUUUGUAUAAAUAUUAGUUUCUCUGUUACACUAAAUAAAAUUGUGGAAAGUUAGGUAGGUAAGGACGUGGAAAAUUGGAAAUAAUCAGAUCCAAUAAUAUUGUUAAUCAUAUGACUUAUUUCUGACUUCAAAUUAAUCAAUUAGAAAACAAACUACCAAAUAAUUAACUUUUAUCUACUAAUCAUAAUUAUAUCUUUACAUGAAACAUUGUUAUUUUCUAGAGUAUCUGUUUUAAGUCUUUGGAAACAUGGCUCGUUAUACUCUUAACUAUUGCAAUAUAUCAAAGUUAUUGUCGUGGGCGAUUAAGAGAAUAUUAUUUUGAAUCAGAUGUUUUCAAAGUACACAACUUAGUAAACCGUCCGGACAAUCAUAACAACACAUAAUAUCUAUCUACAUUACAGUAUAGUAUUCUAAACUGUCACAACAAAUGCCAGUCAAGAACAACUCCUGCUAGAGCUACUGGUUCGAUACAAAUACAGUUUUUUAGAUGUAAUAGAAAGUUUACUGAAGUGGAAAAUACAGGAGAAUAAUUUGUAUUUAAGCUAGCAAUGUGGUUGUCACGACCCAAAAACGAGGGUCAUGAUGACACUUGUCGCAAUGUACCUUGACAAGUAAGCCUAUAAUCCAACCUGAUACGAAAAGAAGAAGACAGAAAUAUCCCACGGUAAGGCUUUUAGAAUGAAGCCGAACCAUAUAAGUAAUCAUAACAAUGCUGAAAGAACUUAUCCAAAAUACCAAUCAUGCCCAAAAUGUGUCAAUAGUGUAAGAACUAUUAAUACAAUUCAAGAGUCAAAUACAUCGAAAAAAUAACCACAAAAAGAAUAAUAUCUGUCUCCGAAUACUAAUAAAAACAUAACUACUUUAGGAAGAUAGAGGUGAACUUCGGAUGCAUGAAUAUCCAACCGCUACCUUGGAAGCUCCAACAAUCGCCCGAGUCAAGAAAUCUGAGGCGCACUAGAGCUAGGACCUGCACCGAAAGGGCGCAGUAGGCAUGAGUACGGUCCACUUGUACGCAGUACGUAUCAUAGGCCGACCAAGCAAAGUAGUAAACAAAACAUACAAAUAUACACUAAGGGCACUUCACCUGCAAUCAGAAAAUGUCCCAGAACGGUAGCUCACACCGCUUGCACUAAUAGUUCUAAUAUAUAUCACAUAUAUUACAAUGACACACCAAGAUAUAAAACACAAAUAUACAUUAUGUCACAUAGAAAUAGAACAAUAGAGAACAUGUAGCUAUAAGAUCAUCAAAUACAAUUAAAGGAAGAUAAGACAAAUACAUAGAUGACAAGUCAAUAAGGCAAUACAACACAACAUAAAUACAAUAAAGCGCAACCUCUAGGAUUGUUGCACAAUUCUCGUAUACACCUACGGAGCUAAAGUUUUCCGACGUAGGAUCCAUGGGGGGUUCGUCAACUUAUAUACAAUCUAUAUAUCUCAUAUAUCCUUUCCGGCAUAUUCUUCGAAAAGAGUUUUAUAAGGUGUUACAAUAUUUUUAAAAAGGUGUAGCCAAUGUUUCUCAGAUGUUGCCAUGGUGGUACCAAUGUUUCAUGAAUGAGUAUGAUAUGAAGAUAUAAUGCUCACAACCAAUCACAAUGAGUAUUUCCACAAUCAAUCACAUGAUAUAUUUCCACAGCCAACCACAAUGAUACAUUCCCACAACCACAUGAGCCAAUAUCCACUUAUUAUUUUCGUUUUAUCCAUGAAUUUUCAUAUGUCUCAUACACCAAUAAAGUAUGAAUAUAAUCACAAUACAACAGUGGUACCACAUUAAACAAUACAAUACAAUUAUUCACAUGUAUUCAAGGCUAUCAAUAUCAUAUAGGACCCCACACGGUCAAACAUAUCACAUAAUAUCUCAAUUUCGACAAUUACAUCACGUAUAGGCUCCCGCAUGGGCACAACACAUAGAUAGCCAUUUUUCAUGAUUAGUUCCCACCCUUAACACGCAUUUUGUACCAUCAUUUACUAUCCAACUCAGUUUGAAGAGUUAAGCCAUAACCUACCGCGAAAGCCGAAAUCGGUCCGCUACACUUGAACCCGCGACCUUACUUUUCACGAAUAAUCCUGAAUUUCACUAAAAAUAUCAAAUAUGAAAUCUACACGUCAAUACAAAAUCAACGACAUCCAUAUUGACUAUUUUUUAUUCGGGAUCAAAAUAGACCCUUAAAAUGGAUUUUCAAAAAAGAAGAAAAAAAAUCGAAACUUUACUUCAAAAAAAUGUUCCCCAUAUUUUUAGGAACCUACUGCUGAAAGCCCAAGCUAAAUCGAGUAAAAAACGGGGUUCAAAUCGAAGAAAAAUUAUUUUGAGCUUUAUCGGGUAAAAUCUUUGAAAUUCGAGUUAAAAUCAAGAAUCGGAGUUGUUCUAAAGGUUAAAUUGAUGAAAAACUAGUAAUUAUGAUAUAAAAAUAUUAUUCAAGUGAAAAGAGUGAAAUUUUGGUUUAAAAUUAUGCCCUAAGAUUUUUGUGGUUUUGAGUAAUUUAUUAAGAAAUUAUUUAAAAAAAGGGUGAAUUCUUACUUUAAAUCCGUAAUAAAAUCAAGAAAUAGAUAUUAAUCUAUCUUCUCAAGAUCCCACAAGCUUCCUUUUAAGCUCUCAAACUAUUUAAGGUUUAACUCUCAAAAGACAAGAUGAAAAAUGAGGAAAAAAAUGAGCCCAAAACUGAUUUAAAUGGUGCAGAUUUUCUGCACCAGCUAAGUAAAGAGCUGCAUUUUUUUUUCCCAAGUUCAAACGGCCUUCGACGGGAUGCCCGGGAUUCGUUCGCAGUCCGAUACAUACAAACGAACUAUGCAACCAUACUAAAUUCGACGUUUCAAACUCGUUGGUGAUAGCAAAUUUUUCAAAAAAUAUCAUUUUCAUAAAGUUGACCCCCAAAAUCCGAAAUUAUAAUUUUUCAAACCGAGGGUCAAAAUGAGAUUUAAAAUACGUAAAAUCAUACCAAAUAUGCUAACACCCUAAAAUCGACAUUCUGGAUCUGCUGGCGAAGUCAGAUUUUUCAUCCGAGGUUAUUUCGAUCAAAUUUGGGUCCCACACCCAUAUUUCCAAUUUUUCAACUUUUCUAUCAAUAGGUCAAAAUGAGCUCGGGUGCACUGGGACCAGAACCAAGGGUUUACCUAGCCUAAAAUUGAUAUUUCGGAGCUGCUGAAGCAGUCCGUUCAGUCAUCUAUCGGACAAAUCAAAAGAUAUCCACAUAAGUCCAAAAUAAGGUUCUCGAAGCCAUAAAAAAAAUCACAAUAUUGCAUAAAUGAUACCAAAAUGCAUCAAAAAUUAUGUCAAUCACUCCCACACUUUAGAAAUAUCAUAAUGCAACUACGGGGAGGGAUAAAAUAAUCAAAUCACAUAAAAUCAUAAAUUUCACAUAUUUCAUCAAAUUUUUAGGUCAUUACAUUGGUUGACUGGUAGGACUAACAAGUGCUUUAUUGUUCAUUACUGUCAAGUUAAUUUGUAUUUAAGUUAGUAAUAUGGUUGACUGAUAGGACUAUGAAGUGUAUUAUUGUUCAUUACUGUCAAGUUAUAUUAAGUACUCCAUUUCAAUUUGUUUGUCUAGUUUAACUUAUAACGGAGUUUAACAAAGUAACGAACAUUUUGAAAUAUUGUGAUCUUAAAUUAAAAUUGUAUAUAACGAUCAAGUGUAGUAUUUCAAAAUAUGUACAAGUGACUUCAAAAUGAUUAGUGUACUCACUUGAGAAGUGGAUUAGUGAUUUAAAAAUGAUUUGGUGUAGUUACAUGGAAGGUGAACUUGAAAACGGUUAAGUAUAAUUACUUGAAAUGUGAAUUAGUUAUUUAAAUAUGAUGAAUUGUAGUGAUUGUAAAUGUGUACUAGACACUUGAAAAUGGUUAAAUGUAUCGACUUUAAAUCUGAAUUAGUUACUUGAAAAUGGUCAAGUGUAGUCACUUGAAAUGUGUACUAGUGAGUUGAAAAUGGUUAAGUGUAGUGACUUGAAAAUGGUUAAGUAUAGUGACUUGAAAUGUCAAUUAGCUAUUUGAAAAUGGUUUGAGUGUAGUGCCUUGAAAUGUGUACUAGUGACUUGAAAAUGAUUAAGUGUAGUUACUUGACAUUGCAAUCUUGUGACUUGAAAACGGUUAAGUGUAGUUACUUGAAAUUGUGAACUUGUCACUUGAAAAUGGUUAAGUGUAGUUACUUGCAAUUGUGAACUUGUGACUUGCAAAUGGUUAAGUGUAGUUACUUGCAAUUGUGAACUUGUGACUUGAAAAUGAUUAAGUAUAGUGACUUGAAAUGUGAAUUAGUUAAUUGAAAAUAGUUAAGUGUAGUGAUUUAAAAUGUGUACUAGUGAUUUGAAAAUGUUAUAAGUGUAGUGACUAGCAAUGUGAAAUAGUUAUUUGAAAAUGAUUAAAUGUAGUGACUUGAAGCGUGUAGUAAUGACUUGAAAAUGGUUAAGUGUAGUUACUUGAAAAUGGUUAAGUGUAGUCAUUUGAAAUUGUGAACUUGUGACUUGAAAAUGAUUAAGCGUAGUUACUUGAAAUGUAUACUUGUGUCUUUAAAUUGGUUAAAUGUAGUGACUUGAAAAGUAUACUAGUGACUUUAAAAUGGUUAAGUGUAGUCAUUUAAAAUUGUGAACUUAUGACUUGUAAAUGAUUAAGUGUAGUUACAUGAAAUUUAUAUUUGUGAUUUUAAAAUGGUUAAGUGUAUUCACUUGAAAUGUGAACUAAGUUACUUGAAAUUAUGAACUUGUGACUAGAAAAUAAUUAAAUGUAGUGUCUUGAUAUGUAUACUAUUGACGUUAAAAUGAUUAAGUGUAGUGACUUGAAAUGUGUACUAGUGACUUGAAAAUAGUUAAGCGUAGUUACUUGAAAAUGGUUAAGUAUCGUGACUUGAAAUGUGUACUAGAGACUUGAAAAUGGUUAAGUGUAGUUACUUGAAAUGUGAAUUAGUUACUUGAAAGUGGUUAAGUAUUGUGACUUGAAAUGAAUGAUUAAGUGUAGUGACUUGAAAGUGAUUAAGUAUAGUUAUUUGAAAUGUGAAGUAGUUACUUGAAAAUGGUUAAGUCUAAUUAUUUGAAAUGUGAAAUAGUUAUGUGAAAAAGGGUUAAGUAUAGUGACUUGAAAUGUGGAUUAAUUAUUUUAAAAUGGUUAAGUAAAGUGAUUUGAAAUGUGUACUUGUAACUUGAAAAUGGUAAUGGUUAAGUGUAGUGACUUGAAAUGUGAAUUAGAUACUUGAAAAUGGUCAAGUGUAAUGACUGGAAGUGUGUACUAGUGACUUGAAAAUGGUUAAGUAUAGUGACUUGAAAUGUCAAUUAGCUAUUUGAAAAUAGUUUGAGUGUAAUGACUUGAAAUGUGUAUUAGAGAAUUGAAAUAUGUACUAGUCACAAUAAUCUUGAAAAUCAACUUUGAGUUUAUGCUGCUUUAUAUGCUAAUAUCUGCAUGUUUCUAUUUGUUGAUUGUUAUUAUUUUAUUUGAUACUAUAAUGUCAACUUUGUCAAAUGAAAUUGGUGAGAUGAUUAAGUCUCAGGUUGAUGCUUCAAAUGAUGAUUUGUAUGCUCAGUUACAGAACGAGCGACACAAAAAUAAGAGGAUGAGAAAGGAAUUGGACUUGUUGAUGAAGAAUGUAUACAAGAAAUCAUCUUCAAAUAAUGAACGCCUAUCUCAAGAAGACAACCAAGCUUAUGAGGAUGAAAGUGAUGAUGACUUUGACGACGUAAAUGAAAGUGAUUCUAAUCCUAAUAAGGUGGAUGAAACUGACUCUGACCCUGAUGGUUGGUAGUUUUACAAGUUUGAAAUAUUUUGUUUUGGACCAUUUAUGAAUCAUACAUUAUUGAUGUAGAUGUUAUGAAUUAUGUUUUUUUGUUAGCUGUAAUGAUUUACAUUAUACUUGUAUUGAAUGAUGUUUUUUGAGAAUUAUUGGAGGUUUUGAAUAGAUUUUUGACUAAUUG